UGACAGAUUGAGAGCUCUUUCUUGAUUCGGUGGGUGGUGGUGCAUGGCCGUUCUUAGUUGGUGGAGCGAUUUGUCUGGUUAAUUCCGAUAACGAACGAGACUCUAGCCUGCUAACUAGGCGAUUUCCGGUACCCACAACAGUGUUACCGGCGAUUCAAUUUCUUCUUAGAGGGACAGGCGGCUCCUAGCCGCACGAGACUGAGCAAUAACAGGUCUGUGAUGCCCUUAGAUGUCCUGGGCCGCACGCG
rnacentral:rRNA from 1 species